AUGCAAGUCGNACGGUGAACCUUGGAGCUUGCUCNNAGGGGAUCAGUGGCGAACGGGUGAGUAACACGUGAGUAACCUGCCCCGGACUCUGGAAUAAGCGCUGGAAACGGCGUCUAAUACCGGAUACGAGACGCAACCGCAUGGUUAGUGUCUGGAAAGUUUUUCGGUCUGGGAUGGACUCGCGGCCUAUCAGCUUGUUGGUGAGGUAAUGGCUCACCAAGG
rnacentral:rRNA from 1 species